GGUCGCAUUGUAUAGUGGUUUAUUACGUUCGCCUUACAGUCUUACGAUGUACCGCGAAAGGUCGCAGGUUCGAUCCCUGCUGCGAUCA
rnacentral:tRNA from 1 species